UCUCUGCAGAUGGUGGGAUAUAAGAUGAAGUUGACACACAAGGUGUGGAUCAUCUGGACCUUUGUACAGCAAUUGUCUGGUUUGAACAGCAGAUGAGUUUGAUCUUGAAAAGCAUCAGCUACACUGAAAAAUGUAAUCUCCAGGGCUCUGAGAUCCCUGCUCCCUUGUGCCUUCUACUUACUGUGUUCCCUAACUGACUUCUUUGCAUCCAUCUGAAUGUUAGAGACCUCACUACUUGAAGUGACUGAAGUUGGGUAACUUCCUAACAUCUGGAUCCCCAUGGCUCACCUUUCUUUUGUCCUGGGUAUUGCCACGGUGUUCCUAUGAAGGGAGUGAUGGGGAGGAGAGGGAAGCAGACUGCAUAGAAUUCUGGGGCACUGAUGGGAAAGAAGAACCUGUUGACUGUAGGAUCAUCCCACAUAGCUGAUGCUGUUGCAGUUUUUUCUGCUGAGAAUGACUCCUGGCCUUCUCAAAGAUAAGUUCAGGGACCAGGGCUGGCGUAGGGUGUGGCAGAGGAGAGGAGGUUGGGAAUGGCAGGGAGGUAUUUCAAGAGUAGCACAGGGGAGAGGGCCAAGCAGGAAGAGUACUCUUUAGGCAGGUAAAGGCAGAGGGGCCUACUUCUCAGCUGAACACUAGCAUGGGCAGGGCAGUUCCAGCCUCUGUCUGUUGCUGUGUCAUUUUUCUUGUCCGUCUGCUGUGUCUCAAUUUCUGAAGCUCUUGAUGCUCUCUUUGCACCCAAGGCAUGCCAGGUGUGCUUUGGGCACCAUUGAUGAGCAAAAGCGGACAAGGGGGUUGAGAGUGUUUGUUAGAGCUUGGCGUUGUUCUCCUUGAAGACCUUGGAAGUUGGUGACGAAGGAGCCAGCUAGCGGAAGUUUACUGAU